rnacentral:lncRNA from 1 species
GUUGGAUGUGUGUCAUUUAGUUGUAUCGCAACCUUCUUGGGGAAUUCAGACCACUGGUGAGCACCCUUUCCAUCUUCUCUCUCUUUGAAUCUGGCAAUAAUAUCCUGGUUUUGAUCCAAUAGCCAGUUACAUAAUUAAGUAAAGAAGUUGAUCAAAGGCAUAUAUACCUAUUAAGAACCUAAAUAAUUUGAAAAAUAGGUUGAGGGGGUGGGGGGUUUCAUGAAACUAGUUCAAAUGGAGCUAAGCUUUUCUUUCGAAAUUCAAUAACAUGACCGAAGAGCUCUUUUUUGCUCAAACCUACUGAAUAUUGAGGAUGUUUGGGAUUGAGGUGCAGCCAGUGGCUCCAGAAACAAGCAAGAAACUUCACUCAGAACUAAUUAGUAGGAGGACAGAUUCCAAGGCACAAGAUCAACAUAAAAAUAUAAGCCCGAGGAAAAAAAAUGCUCAUUAGUAUCAUCAAAUUAGACUGACUUCCUAAAUAAGAGAAUGCCUUAAGAUAUGGUAUUAUACGGAACAGGUGCAGAAGAGAGAAAAGGAAACU